rnacentral:lncRNA from 1 species
GUAGUCGAUGGCAAUGGCGUGCCGGAUGUCGUCCACCUGCAGCACGAUGUCGGUGAAGUCCGGCGUGUCCAGCGAGAUCCUCCGUAGGUCCGUCCGCCGGGCCAGCAGCAGCACCUCCUCGGCUCCUGCCUUACACGUCCUGCCGUUGUCCUGCAGCUGCACACCCGUGGGGCAGGCGCAUGUGUAGAAAGGCUCGCUUGGGGACAGCAGGCACAGGUGGGAGCAGCCGCCAUUGUCCUCCUCACAGCGAGUGUGGAAGAAAGGCUGCCGCUCCUGGCUCAGCACCUGGAUGUCCAUGGGUGAGUAGAGGGCACUCAGGAUCUCCUUCCUCUUCCCCCCAGUGCGCUUGU